UAGAAAGGUUUAAGAGUAUGCAAAAACCAAAUCUCUGAGAGAUGCAACCAGAAGACGGAUGAGAAACAUACUUGAGGCUGAGAUGACAGAAACACAUGGGUAAGAAUCAAAAAUGUAGGAUAUAAAGAAACAUUUUUAACAUUGUAUUACUUUUAAUUGUGAUGUUCAAUGCCAUUUAUUGAAUUUAUACAUUAAGAUAUCUCCCCCUAAAAGCGUAAGAGUGAUGUAUGCGCAGGGCAUUGUUGCUCUGUCUCCAUAUCUGGAAGACCCAUAUUCACAACAUGGAUAUGAACAUUACUACGAUCCAGAGAGCGGUUCAGGAUACCUUGAAUGGUCUUCAACCACCAUGUAAAGAAAAGCUGCGGAGGAAAGAAGCGUCUCAGUUUGCAAAUCUCCCAAAAUUGGUGGGCCAGGCCAUGGUCAAUCCAGACCACUCACCACUCAGACAGUGUUAUCAGAUGAGGAUGUAAGAGCAGCUAUUGCUCUUUUGAGACACUCUGCUGAUGAAGACAUCCGUGAAAAGAUGAAAGCUACCUUCAUUUAUUGGCAUUCAAUGGUCAACGAUGAAAAGAAUGCAGCAGAUGUCUUCAUAGGCCUGAUGCGGUUUCUGGACACACCAGGACUGAUAGAACAAGAUUUCCGACUCCUGUUUUGUGAGGUCACUGCCAGCAAAUCCUUGGAGAGGUGGCCCAUCAAUCUCAAAGCAAAGGUUGUAAAGUCAUGGACUUGUCUCCACCUCAGAGCUCUUGGAGUUAAUGUGCAAUGCUGAGUCAGGCUGGGACAGUGACAUGUCUACUAUCUUGCUGCUGCUACAUCUGCUACCACCAUUUGCACAAGGGUGAAAGAGACCAGGAAAGAUGUCUGCAUCUCAAGCUGUCGAUAACCUCAACAAAUUCCCAAAGGCUGGAACCAGUGUACAGCAGCAUCUAGACAACAGCAGUCAGCCCUACCUUCUUGCUCAGGGAUCCACAAGAAGCAGCAUUCACACCUUCAUUGUGAUUGACAAGCAUGCACUACCACGUAAAGCGACAGGUUCAGUAGGAGCCCUUGAUGAACUCUUUAGGGCCCAUUAUGUCUUUGGUACAUCAUACAGUUCAUUGCUGACCAACUUUUUUCCCUUUUCUGCAAACAACUGUGACAUUGGGGAAACGCCAUAUUGCUUUCUGUAGUGAGCAUCAUAGAACUGUAUGCUAAUGUGAAUUGUAAGGGCUUGUUACGUUAAUUAAAUGACACUGAAAUGAGAAACAUAAUAAAUGCUGUUACUUUAACCUGUAUGUUUGUUGUCAUUUCCAUAAUAUAGGAUAGAUCACAGUUAUUUAGUAAUAUAGCAUCAUAAGAUGAAUAUGAAAAAAUAACACUACAGAGAAAUAAAAAUGAUAUAUUAUUACACAUCAGAGUGUUAUUAUUAAACUAAAUUUGGAGUAAAAAUAGCUCUAUAAAGUGUAA